CUGUAGCUCUACCCAUCCUGCGCUCUGCUACCAACAUGAAACUUAUAGGUUGCUGCUGUCCAAGAAGUGACGGCUCUUCUGGGAGGAGGAUUAGAUAUUUUUUGCUUAGGGACGGUUUACUUGCAUUCCAAGGUUUGGAUUAAUACUCUUGGGUCUUGUCCAGGCAAAGCUGAGAAGUGGGUUCCGGAUGAUCCCAGGGCUGGGAGAGGAGUGGAAGUGGGGAGUAUGCCCGGGGCCUCAGGGCACCCUCUUCUUCCAGAUGGAAAAAUGAGCUGCAGUCCUGCUCAAAAUUCUUCAUGAAUUGAGACAAUCAACUAAUCAAGAAGAUCUACUAUGUUUGAGAUACUGUGACAGAGACUAGAGAUGCAAAAAUAAAACAGCCAUCCUUCCUUUCAAGGACUUAUAUUAUGUUGGAAAAUAAAACAUAUAUGUUGUUGUUCA